UGGGGAAUAUUGGACAAUGGACCGAGAGUCUGAUCCAGCAAUUCUGUGUGCACGAUGAAGUUUUUCGGAAUGUAAAGUGCUUUCAGUUGGUAAGAAAAAAAUGACGGUACCAACAGAAGAAGUGACGGCUAAAUACGUGCCAGCAGCCGCGGUAAUACGUAUGUCACGAGCGUUAUCCGGAUUUAUUGGGCGUAAAGCGCGUCUAGGUGGUUAUGUAAGUCUGAUGUGAAAAUGCAGGGCUCAACUCUGUAUUGCGUUGGAAACUGUAUAACUAGAGUACUGGAGAGGUAAGCGGAACUACAAGUGUAGAGGUGAAAUUCGUAGAUAUUUGUAGGAAUGCCGAUGGGGAAGCCAGCUUACUGGACAGAUACUGACGCUAAAGCGCGAAAGCGUGGGUAGCAAACAGG
rnacentral:rRNA from 1 species